rnacentral:tRNA from 1 species
CAAGGAAUAGUUUAAUUAGAAUGUUAGCUUUGGGUGCUGAUGGUGGGGCUGUUGCUUCUUCCUUG